UCAACAAAAACGGACUUUGGCGUGUGCAUGCCACGCGAUGUGAAGGGUUGUGUUUGUGAGGUGAGGCGAAAAAUCAUAUGCAAGCCGAACACAAACACGCGCCAAAAUCCAUUUUUGUUUGCCACGUUUUCGUUUUUCUUCGGCACGCCACGCAUUUCCACGAGACUGGGCUGCAGCCAUUGAGGGCACAGUGUCACUUCAGCGACUAAAGGACCGCUCGCUAAACACUUGUGCGGGUUGAUUUCAUGAUUGACGGGCCUCUUUAGAAAGGAGUUCACUCACCUGGAUUUAACAUGCACCGGAAACGCUCGAUUUCACAUUCUAAGCCCUGCUCAGAAAGCCGCUCCAUCGACAGCGUCCUCUGCUGGAGAAAACACACUGGCUGAUGUUCACGAAGAGAUCCUCGCCUUUUUUGAGUUUAGACACAAAUUUAUAUGAGAAAUACCUAUAUAUAUAUAAUUUUUUUUGAUGGAAAUAUGCCGUGUAAUAAAAUCCCGAUGGAUAGCAAAGGAACUAGCCUGACUGACCCAUUUAUGAAGAGCUGAUUCCGCUUCUGACCGCUAGAUGGCAGCGCAGCAACAUU